GAUUCCGGAGAGGGAGCCUGAGAAACGGCUACCACAUCCAAGGAAGGCAGCAGGCGCGCAAAUUACCCAAUCCCGACACGGGGAGGUAGUGACAAUAAAUAACAAUAUAGGGCUCUUUCGGGUCUUAUAAUUGGAAUGAGUACAAUUUAAAUCCCUUAACGAGGAACAAUUGGAGGGCAAGUCUGGUGCCAGCAGCCGCGGUAAUUCCAGCUCCAAUAGCGUAUAUUAAAGUUGUUGCAGUUAAAAAGCUCGUAGUUGAACCUUGGGGUCAGUAGAUUGGUCGUGCCACUGGUAUGUACUGGUCUUACUGGCUCCUCCUUCCUGAUGAACCGUAAUGCCAUUAAAUUGGUGUUGCCGGGAGACUGGACUGUUACUUUGAAAAAAUUAGAGUGUUUAAAGCAGGCUACCGCUUGAAUACAUUAGCAUGGAAUAAUGAAAUAGGACGUUCGAUCUUAUUUUGUUGGUUUUUAGGAUUGACGUAAUGAUUAAUAGGGAUAGUUGGGGGCAUUAGUAUUCAAUUGUCAGAGGUGAAAUUCUUGGAUUUAU
rnacentral:rRNA from 1 species